rnacentral:rRNA from 1 species
UACGUAGGGUGCAAGCGUUGUCCGGAAUUAUUGGGCGUAAAGAGCUCGUAGGCGGUCUGUCGCGUCUGCUGUGAAAAUCAGGGCUCAACCCUGGACCUGCAGUGGGUACGGGCAGACUAGAGUGCGGUAGGGGAGAUCGGAAUUCCUGGUGUAGCGGUGAAAUGCGCAGAUAUCAGGAGGAACACCGAUGGCGAAGGCAGGUCUCUGGGCAUUAACUGACGCUGAGGAGCGAAAGCAUGGGGAGCGAACAGG